rnacentral:rRNA from 1 species
UACGGGGGGGGCAAGCGUUGUUCGGAAUUACUGGGCGUAAAGCGAGUGUAGGCGGUUUGGUAAGUCGGAUGUGAAAGCCCCGGGCUCAACCCGGGAAGUGCACUCGAUACUGCCAAGCUAGAGUAUCGGAGAGGUUGGUGGAAUUCUCGGUGUAGAGGUGAAAUUCGUAGAUAUCGAGAGGAACACCGGUGGCGAAGGCGGCCAACUGGACGAAUACUGACGCUGAGACUCGAAAGCGUGGGGAGCAAACAGG